rnacentral:rRNA from 1 species
GAACGACUCUCGGCAACGGAUAUCUCGGCUCUCGCAUCGAUGAAGAACGUAGCGAAAUGCGAUACUUGGUGUGAAUUGCAGAAUCCCGUGAACCAUCGAGUUUUUGAACGCAAGUUGCGCCCUAGGCCUUCCGGCCGAGGGCACGCCUGCCUGGGCGUCAC